UACGUAGGGGGCAAGCGUUGUCCGGAAUCAUUGGGCGUAAAGCGCGCGUAGGCGGCCCGGUAAGUCCGCUCUGAAAGUCCAGGGCUCAACCCUGGAAAGCGGGUGGAUACUGCCGGGCUAGAAUCCGGAAGAGGCGAGUGGAAUUCCUGGUGUAGCGGUGGAAUGCGCAGAUAUCAGGAGGAACACCAAUAGCGAAGGCAGCUCGCUGGGACGUUACUGACACUAAGGCGCGAAAGCGUGGGGAGCGAACAGG
rnacentral:rRNA from 1 species